rnacentral:rRNA from 1 species
AUGGUGGUAGAGUAUAACUGUCUACUGCCAAGAUCCCUGACGGUAGGGUCGCAUGCUUGUCGCAAAAUUUUGCUAAGUAUUGAACACAAUGCGUGUUCGUGCCUACCGUCGAGCACAUUGGCUGUAGGGUUGUACAUACUACCGCCGUUCUGUUUGGCGGUAGGGAUGUUUCCUACCGCCAAGGUCCCUGACGGUAGGCUUUUACACCUUACCGCCAUGGACCCUGGCGGUAGCAAAAGGACCAGAUCUCGAAAAAAUUUCAAACUAGAGCAAGAUCUCGAAUAG